UACAGAGGGUGCAAGCGUUAAUCGGAAUUACUGGGCGUAAAGCGUGCGUAGACGGUUAUGUAAGUCAGAUGUGAAAGCCCCGGGCUCAACCUGGGAAUUGCAUUGAGACUGCAUAGCUAGGGUGCGGAAGAGGGAAGCGGAAUUUCCGGUGUAGCGGUGAAAUGCGUAGAUAUCGGAAGGAACACCAGUGGCGAAAGCGGCUUCCUGGUCCAGCACCGACGUCAGGCACGAAAGCGUGGGGAGCAAACAGGG
rnacentral:rRNA from 1 species